rnacentral:misc_RNA from 1 species
UCGUAUAACCGAGGUGCGAGGGCUGUCGCUGACCUUUUUGGCCGUGCACGCCCGAGUGCUCUCACACAAUCCAUCUCACCCCUUGUGCACCACCGCGUGGGUUUCCUUUCUGGCUUUGUCUGGAAGGGGGGCUCGCGUUUUCACACAAACUUGAAGUAGUGUAGAAUGUCCUUCUUUGCAAUAACAUGCAAUCAAUA